CAAAAAUCCAAUCCUAGAUCCGCCCCUGGACUUCUACUAGACUCAAACCAAAUCCAAACUUCUUCAGUUCUCCUAGUCAAAGUGAUGGGGUAAGUAAGGAGGGGACUGUACCAGAAUCCUUAUUGAAACAAGCUCGUAAAACCGGUUCACUGAACCUGUCAAACAGGGGCAUUAGUGUUAUUCCUCCUAAACUGUGGAGACUCAAUAUUGAUCCUCCUGAUGGUAGUACUGCUUCAUUUGAUGUUGAUGAGAGAUGGUGGGACCAGGUGGAACUGACUAGACUGGAUCUAUCAUCUAACGAAAUCAAAGAAAUAUCUGAAGAUAUUGAAAACUUUAAUUCAUUGUCAGCGCUUGAGGUCCAGUACAAUGAGUUAAGAUGUGUACCUAAUAAUGUGAUCAAACUGGAUAAACUAUGUAAAAUAUUUGCAAGCUCCUUCAUUGUAGUUAACUUAUUAAUUUGCUAACUUGAUUCGUACACUUUACUAAUCCAUGAAAACUGUACCUAAGCAGUGGCACACACAAUUUGAAGGAAAAGUGAUAGAAAAACAGGAAAAAUUUCCUAUCAC